rnacentral:sRNA from 1 species
ACUGGAGUCACAGAGUCGCCUUUGAACCGCAAGUGAACUUGAGUGCUGCACUAGCAGCCCGGCUCCGGCUGCCGCCGGCGCCCCGAGGCCUCCCAUACCUGCACCCUAAGCAGUUCAGAGUUGGCUUCUGUUUUCCGUUAGCGCUUUGCUGCACGGACAAAUGCAUACAAAUGCAUUUAAGAGCCCACAGAACAAGGCGUGGAAAAGUCUCCCCCACGGCAAAAACGAGCGGCCGAGUACCCGCGGUAUCUUCCCCUUGUCUUCUCAGCUUGCAAAAUACCGUGUUUGAAAGGAUGCCUCGUGCCAGCAGAUCUCAGACAGUUUAUGCUAAAGCGAUCUUUUGGCUCGAGAGGAAAAGCUCGCUGGCGCGAGUCCCGAGGUCCAGGGCAGCGGCUCCCGAAGCUCCAGAGCUGGGCUCCGACGAUCUCUCUGGCUCCAGCUCCCGCCGCCCUCGCGCCCUCCUCCCCUUCUCCUCCCGCAGGGUCCUGUCGAGGUCCUGCUUCCCCGAGGUGCUUCUCAGGGCGUCCAGCCUGGCGUUUGCUGUGACGCUAGAGGUCCCCCAGGGUCGGUGUGCGCAGCCUGGACCACUGGACUCAGGCGUGAGGAAGGGUCGCCAGCGGGGGGAAGGGGGUGGCUGCAGAACCUCGGGCGUCGGGGGGUUGCUUUUACCCACGGGCUCAGAGGCAAUCCCCUCUGGUUAGAAGGCCAAAAAACGUUGCCCAUCCGAGCCGAGGCUGCGCCCUGAUCAUUGCCCUGUCACUGGGGAAGUGGCACUCGCGGCGGGGACUGGGGAGGGGAGCAGGACAUGGGGGCGGGCCUGCCCCUCCUGUGGAGGUUUUGAGCGGGUCCUGACGGGCACCCCACCUCCCCUUUGGGCGCUGUACCUGCUCCCAUGCCUUCCCUGGGAAAAGGGCUCGGACCAGGGGUUGCGCGGCUUUGGCUGGAUGCCCUGGUCCCCCUGGAAGAAGUCAGUGGGUUACACAAGUUUGCUUCUGGCCCCUGGGCGAGAAGGGUGAACGCGGCUGUGGAAGUCUUCUGCAGAGAGGCUGCCCCUCAGGAGGCUAGGUGGGAGGAGGGCAAGGAACAGAAUUGACCGUGUCAGCUGAGGGCAGGCGGAGGCGGGGUGCGGAGAAAGAGCGCCUUGUGGUCGUGUUUGUAUGAACAUGUGCUUCCCAGCCGCGUGCAGCCCAGCCUGGCUGGGGCUCGCGCGCGCGCUCUCUUCCGACCCCCGGAAGCCUCGCUGCUGGGCUUCCCAGCUGACCAGAUGCACCUCCCCGCACACCCCCAUCCCCAUGCAACAGUGAAGAGGAAACCUCCCAAUCUCCUCAACCCCGUGCGGGCAGCGCGGUGCUGGAGGCUGGGGAGUCCCUGGAGCGAGUAGAGGUCAAGCUCUGCUUGAGAAGGGUUGCCUUCUCAGAGCGGCUCACGCAGGUCGCAUGGGGUUCCCAGGCAGAAGAUUUCCCGCCACUGUUCUCGAUAAACAUCCCUCUGUGUGGACCAGCCUGGAGAGUCGGGGGUUGCAGCCGAUCCUGCGGAACUGACAGAUCUUCCCGCUGAUCAGGGGCGGAUGCAGAGAGGCUCUAGCCCUGCCAGCCUGGAGACUCCAGGAGAGGCGGAGUGAGGCCCUCCACCUCUUGCCCAGCCAGCCUCCGCAUGCGGCCCUCCUGCAGCUCCUGCCCCGAGGGCUUUCCCUCUGCCACCGCGCGAGGCCCACGCUGGUGACUAACACUCCCCUUGGUAGUUGUGACCAACCACCGGAGUUAAAGCAGAUCUGCUCCUGGGUUUUGUCUUGUCUGGUUUACACUUCCCUUCCAGACGCUCCCAGAAAAGUCCCUGCAUAAAUUCUUGGGCAGUUUGGGGUUUGUAAAUUGGGUCCAGAUGAUUUGGGGGGAGGGAGGCAGAGAAACCAAAUAGAAUGGAUUGCACCGGAGGAAAUUCUGAAGAAAAAUUAUAAAACGUGGAAUGGGAAGAGAACCCUUGUGCAGAGACGUGGGGAUAAGUAGCAGGUUCUGGAUGAAGGUGUUUGUCUCCCAUGACCACCAGAGGCCUUGCAGCCCUUGGUUAUCUCAUAAUAUCCAAUUUGUUCUAUUACAGGGGCCAUUAGGGAUGGGCUGCAGAGAAUUAAGGGUAAUUCAUAAUUACAUCAGAUUACAGAACUCACAGCUCCAACCACACAUGCAAACUUGGGAAAGAUAGUUAAUGAUUGGGCUGAAAAAAUUGUUUCUAGAAAAUCCAAUUUUCAUAAAUAAUUUGGAAUUUUUCCCUUUGAAAAAUAAUGCCACCAACCCUUCGGAGUUUGAGGCGGGGCGGGGCGGGGGGGCUGGAUUUGGAAGAAGUAGCUGAUUUAUAAUGUUAGGCCACUGAAUUAAACCUUAGAGUCUCUG